rnacentral:rRNA from 1 species
AUUGAACGCUGGCGGCAGGCCUAACACAUGCAAGUCGAGCGGCAGCGGGAAAGUCGCUUUCUACUUUUGCCGGCGAGCGGCGGACGGGUGAGUAAUGCCUGGGGAUCUGCCCAGGCGAGGGGGAUAACUACUGGAAACGGUAGCUAAUACCGCAUACGCGCUACGGGGAUAAGCAGGGGACCUUCGGGCCUUCCGCGUGUCGAUGAACCCAGGUGGGAUUAGCUAGUUGGUGAGGUAAUGGCUCACCAAGGCGACGAUCCCUAGCUGGUCUGAGAGGAGGAUCAGCCACACUGGAACUGAGACACGGUCCAGACUCCUACGGGAGGCAGCAGUGGGGAAUAUUGCACAAUGGGGGAAACCCUGAUGCAGCCAUGCCGCGUGUGUGAAGAAGGCCUUCGGGUUGUAAAGCACUUUCAGCGAGGAGGAAAGGUUGGUAGCUAAUAACUGCCAGCUGUGACGUUACUCGCAGAAGAAGCACCGGCUAACUCCGUGCCAGCCGCCGCCGUAAAAC